rnacentral:misc_RNA from 1 species
GAAAUACAAUGACUUCCGGAAAUGAAGCCCGAACUCCUGAUUAACAUAAACAAUAGACAGAAAAAUGCAUCUAAAUAUUAAAUUAGUCAUUAAUAAACGGAAUAUAGCGGUAGAUUCCCUUACUUCCGCGGGUUCUAAUCGGCUUACUUACGAAACUUUAAUGUGUACAGCCGCCAAAUUAAUCUGGACACAAGAGAUAUAACAAUGUAUGAAUUCACAACCAGGAAGAAAUCAAUUGCUUUUCUACCAUUACUAGUAGGAAUGGUUAAUUGUGCUACUAUUUCCCAGGAAAGAAAUACAUUUCCAUGGUUUCCACAAGGCUGGAGUGGGUAUGUCUUGUAUUGUUCAAAUGCCUGUAAAAACGUGCCAUUAAUCGGAAACAAACUAGAUAGCUGCUGCGCGUGCCAUUCAAAAAGUGUUUGGGAUUUCAGUGGGACGGUUUCACAUUUAAAUGUUUCCAACGAUGGAUACCUGGAAGGAAACAAGUCUGCAAGAAAUAUACAUGUCAAUUUUGUCAAAGAGAACUUACAGUUUCUCCCUAAAAAUAUUUGCCAUUUUCCAGGAAUAACAAAAAUCAAUCUAGCCUUUAAUCUCAUCACGGAUAUCCCAAACCUUUCUUGUAUUCAAAAUUUGACUGAUUUGAAUUUAUCUUACAACAAACUAUCUUCAUUGCCAAAAUCGUUAACCCAUAAUAGGAAUCUGAGAACGGUGGAUCUGUCAGGUAACUAUAUCACACGUUUGGAGACUGGAGUUUUGGCUGCACUGUCAGCUCACAACAUACUCCUAAAAGGAAAUCAGAUUAUGUCAAUUGAUAUCACAGAUGUUGUGUUUGAACGACCCUUUUGUGUGAUUAAUAUGUCUCAUAAUGCCUUGAGAAUACCUACAAAUGAAAACAACUGGAAAGUAAGUCUAAAAGCAAAGUAUGGACCUGGGUACGCAGUGUUUUCAUUUAAUUUCUUUACAAGAAUGCCGAAUGCAACAAAACUUGGCUUUUCAAAUAUUUUCGAUCUUAGUAAGCUGUUUGAUUUUGGGUUUGAUUUUCGUUAUAACCCGAUAAUUUGUGAUUGUAACAUCGCCAAGCUCUUGUUACGUUUUAAAGAUUACAUUGAUGUAAUGAAAAGGGAUUACUUUGACUUAACGUGUGGUUCACCAGAGCAGUUCAAGGAUAAGUCGUUACCAAGCAUUAUCAUGGAAAACCAAAUAAAAGAUUUGCUCUGUAACUAUACUUCGACUCCUUUGUGUCCAGCUGGUUGUACAUGUGAAGAAAGUCCUAAACACAUUGACUAUAGAAGCAAGUCUUUGACACUGACUCUCAUUAUUAACUGCUCCGGGGCUGGUGUAAAGCGCCUUCCUCGUGUUCUUCCCUACAGUGAUCGUAUCGAGUUUCACAUGAGGGGGAACAUGAUAUACGAGAUACCUAACAACCAUUACUUGAACCACAGUCGGAGCAGCGAAAAGGAAUAUCUCGAUCCCUGUCGCGUCUUAGUCCCUGUGUCUUUCUCCAAAAAACAGAUUUUGUUAUGGUCUGUACUUGCUCCCAUCUGUGGAUGUUGGACUGGAUAGGUAGUUUUUUGGCCAGCAAAUGUGCUUCUUACGUUUUCAGAUGUUUGAAUGGCACUGCUAAAGAAAAUUUAACUAUUUUUCUUCAAAGUCUGAAUUGCUCCGAUACGGGAGAUUUUCAUAAAUAUAAUUGGAUGUUUAUCAGCUCCUCUAUUUUGAUACUAGUUUGUUUAAUUAUAAUAAUUGUCAAUGUUUGGAAGUAUGAACUAAAAAUUGUGCUAAGAAAACUAUGCACAAAAUGUAUUGAACAUUCAGACGAAGACUGUGUGGUUUACAUCUCGUACGAUGUCAAUGUUGCAAAAAUUGGUCCAUGGGUAUUCAAGACACUGGAACCAUUUUUAUUUGGGAGUGGUUUGAGUGCUUUUGUGCCCUCUCGUGACCUGUCCUUGGGAAGUGUAAGAGCAGAGGAAGCAGCAUACCACAUAUCUGUGUCCAGGUAUUACCUGGUGAUUCUGUCUGAAGGUUAUUCCGACGAAGAGUCCGUCGUGACGCACAAUGAAUGGAAGAACAUUUGGAACCAUUACAUGUCCGAUUCAAGAAAAAACCUACUGGUCAUUAAUUUUGAUUUGAUGAAACCAGGCGAUGUGUCCUGUCGAAAACUUGAAGCUUUCUUACGUGUUGGCAAUGUUAUUAAUUUUGCAGAGGGCGAAAAGAAAACAUUUUCACAAAUCUCGAAUACGUUUGUAAGAUAGCUGUUUUAAAAUACCGGUAAUUUCCGUCCAACGUGGAAAUUCCCACAAUUGUUGUUCUUUGCGAAAUAUGUCAGAUCUUAUUAUUUCUUUAAAAGAUUUAAUUCUUUUGUUUACUUUUAUAACAAUGGUUUUGGUUGACCAUUUAUUCAUAGACGUGGUUGUAGAGGGGUAUUUUUAGAAAGAUUUUAAACUCUUGAACAUUAGCAAAUGCAUGUCAUUUUGAUUUUGUUUUUAUUGUGCUCUCUGAGUAAUACAACACUGCUCAAAUCGAGACAUUGUAUUUUGUUUAAAAUACUGGCACAAGCCCAUUCUCAAGAAGCAUUUUAGAAAUAGACACUGUGUCCUUGUUUCACGCACUUGGUGGAGACCUUUACAAAAACAACAGACUAUAUCAAGACAUAACAUGAACGAUUUAUUUAAAUAUCAGUCAUAUGAAUAUUGUAAUGUGUAAGAGUGCGAAAAGAGCUAUGAAUGCUCAGAAAACAAAACUACAUAGAAAUAUAUAACUUUAAUUACUUUGAUUGUGGAUUGUUUGUUAUAAUGAAAAUAUGAAAUAAAUGUUUUAAAAAGCU